rnacentral:rRNA from 1 species
AGAGUUUGAUCCUGGCUCAGGACGAACGCUGGCGGCGUGCCUAACACAUGCAAGUCGAGCGGAGUUAAGUUCGACACUGACAGCUUAAGUAUCAGGAGGAAGGCGGAUAUUUGAGAUGUGAGUGUUGGACUUAACUUAGCGGCGGACGGGUGAGUAACGCGUGGGCAACCUACCUUUUACAGGGGGAUAACACAGGGAAACCUGUGCUAAUACCGCAUAAAAUCACAAUACGGCCUCGUAUAAUGAUCAAAGGAGCAAUCCGGUAAAAGAUGGGCCCGCGUCCAAUUAGCUAGUUGGUGGGGUAAAGGCCUACCAAGGCGACGAUUGGUAGCCGAACUGAGAGGUUGAUCGGCCACAUUGGGACUGAGACACGGCCCAGACUCCUACGGGAGGCAGCAGUGGGGAAUAUUGCGCAAUGGGGGGAACCCUGACGCAGCAACGCCGCGUGAAGGAUGAAGGUUUUCGGAUUGUAAACUUCUUUGAUGAGGGACGAAACAAAUGACGGUACCUCAAAAACAAGCCACGGCUAACUACGUGCCAGCAGCCGCGGUAAUACGUAGGUGGCGAGCGUUGUCCGGAAUUACUGGGUGUAAAGGGCGUGUAGGCGGGGAUGCAAGUCAGAUGUGAAAUACCGAGGCUUAACUUCGGGGGUGCAUCUGAAACUGUAUUUCUUGAGUGUCGGAGAGGAAAGUGGAAUUCCUAGUGUAGCGGUGAAAUGCGUAGAUAUUAGGAGGAACACCAGUGGCGAAGGCGACUUUCUGGACGAUAACUGACGCUGAGGCGCGAAAGCGUGGGGAGCAAACAGGAU